rnacentral:rRNA from 1 species
CUAGUUGGCGAGGUAACGGCUCACCAAGGCAACGACGGGUAGCUGGUCUGAGAGGAUGGCCAGCCACAUUGGGACUGAGAUACGGCCCAGACUCCUACGGGAGGCAGCAGUGGGGAAUCUUGCGCAAUGGCCUAACGGCUGACGCAGCGACGCCGCGUGUGGGAUGAAGCUCUUCGGAGUGUAAACCCCUGUUGCCCGGGACGAAUAGCUCGAUUAAUCGAGCCUGACAGUACCGGGUGAGGAAGCACCGGCUAACUCCGUGCCAGCAGCCGCGGUAAUACGGGGGGUGCGAGCGUUGUCCGGAAUCACUGGGCGUAAAGGGCGCGUAGGUGGUUUGAUAAGGGUGUGGUGAAAGUCCGGGGCUCAACCCCGGAUCUGCCGUGCCGACUGUCAAACUCGAGGACUGUAGAGGCAGACGGAAUUCCGGGUGUAGCGGUGGAAUGCGUAGAGAUCCGGAGGAAGACCGGUGGCGAAGGCGGUCUGCUGGGCAGUUUCUGACACUGAGGCGCGACAGCGUGGGGAGCAAACAGGAUUAGAUACCCUGGUAGUCCACGCCGUAAACGAUGGGUACUAGGUGCCUGGGGGAGCGACCCUCUGGGUGCCGGCGCUAACGCAGGAAGUACCCCGCCUGGGGAGUACGACCGCAAGGUUGAAACUCAAAGGAAUUGACG